UCUUCAGUUUAAAAAAAAACAUCUGUUUUUUAAAAACAUUUUUAUUUAAUUAUUAACAAAGCUUGUGUUCUAUGUUCAUUUCUCCAUCAAACACGUGAAGACUCGUUAUUGUAAAGGAACUAAAACACGCAUGUAAUCCAUCUUAGAAAAACAAACAACAACAUUGAAAUAGAUGGUCUAUUAUUUGAAUCAUACAGCCGUGGCUAUAGCAACACAGUCAUUACAUAACUGUGAACAGCCAGAGUGAUCUGAUUUGAUGGCAUAGCAGUGUUUUGAAGAUAGCAAAUUGAGUAUUCAGUCUGAAUGAUUAUAAAAUCUGUUUUGUUGUGUAGUUGUUGUAUAGGACACUAUGGCCUCCAGACUCAAUAGCAGGACUGAGUUGAAUUAACCGUUUUCAAAGCUCACAUUCCACGACAUACAGUAGAGGCUGUAAAACAGGAAGUGCAUCACUCAGAAUGUAAAAGCUCAAUACUUAUUUUCCUGAUUCUUUAUUUUUUUUUAGCAAUGAGACUCAUCUUGUGAUGCUCUUUCUACGAGACCAUAGAGUUCCUAUAUUCCUGACAUGUCAUUGUGAUUGAUAUAAACAAGCCAUGUUGGACAGGUCUGAUGAGUUAGAUAGUCAGUCCAGUAACCAGCCAUGUUGGUCAGGUCUGAUGAGUUAGAUAGUCAGUCCAGUAACCAGCCAUGUUGGUCAGGUCUGAUGAGUUAGAUAGACAGUCCAGUAACCAGCCAUGUUGGUCAGGUCUGAUGAGUUAGAUAGUCAGUCCAGUAACCAGCCAUGUUGGUCAGGUCUGAUGAGUUAGAUAGUCAGUCCAGUAACCAGCCAUGUUGGUCAGGUCUGAUGAGUUAGAUAGACAGUCCAGUAACCAGCCAUGUUGGUCAGGUCUGAUGAGUUAGUCAGUCCAGUAACCAGCCAUGUUGGUCAGGUCUGAUGAGUUAGAUAGUCAGUCCAGUAACCAGCCAUGUUGGUCAGGUCUGAUGAGUUAGACAGUCCAGUAACCAGCCAUGUUGGUCAGGUCUGAUGAGUUAGAUAGACAGUCCAGUAACCAGCCAUGUUGGUCAGGUCUGAUGAGUUAGAUAGUCAGUCCAGUAACCAGCCAUGUUGGUCAGGUCUGAUGAGUUAGAUAGACAGUCCAGUAACCAGCCAUGUUGGUCAGGUCUGAUGAGUUAGAUAGACAGUCCAGUAACCAGCCAUGUUGGUCAGGUCUGAUGAGUUAGAUAGUCAGUCCAGUAACCAGCCAUGUUGGUCAGGUCUGAUGAGUUAGACAGUCCAGUAACCAGCCAUGUUGGUCAGGUCUGAUGAGUUAGAUAGACAGUCCAGUAACCAGCCAUGUUGGUCAGGUCUGAUGAGUUAGAUAGUCAGUCCAGUAACCAGCCAUGUUGGUCAGGUCUGAUGAGUUAGAUAGACAGUCCAGUAACCAGCCAUGUUGGUCAGGUCUGAUGAGUUAUAGACAGUCAGUCCAGUAACCAGCCAUGUUGGUCAGGUCUGAUGAGUUAGAUAGUCAGUCCAGUAACCAGCCAUGUUGGUCAGGUCUGAUGAGUUAGACAGUCCAGUAACCAGCCAUGUUGGUCAGGUCUGAUGAGUUAGAUAGACAGUCCAGUAACCAGCCAUGUUGGUCAGGUCUGAUGAGUUAGAUAGUCAGUCCAGUAACCAGCCAUGUUGGUCAGGUCUGAUGAGUUAGAUAGACAGUCCAGUAACCAGCCAUGUUGGUCAGGUCUGAUGAGUUAGAUAGUCAGUCCAGUAACCAGCCAUGUUGGUCAGGUCUGAUGAGUUAGAUAGUCAGUCCAGUAACCAGCCAUGUUGGUCAGGUCUGAUGAGUUAGAUAGACAGUCCAGUAACCAGCCAUGUUGGUCAGGUCUGAUGAGUUAGAUAGUCAGUCCAGUAACCAGCCAUGUUGGUCAGGUCUGAUGAGUUAGAUAGACAGUCCAGUAACCAGCCAUGUUGGUCAGGUCUGAUGAGUUAGUCAGUCCAGUAACCAGCCAUGUUGGUCAGGUCUGAUGAGUUAGAUAGUCAGUCCAGUAACCAGCCAUGUUGGUCAGGUCUGAUGAGUUAGACAGUCCAGUAACCAGCCAUGUUGGUCAGGUCUGAUGAGUUAGAUAGACAGUCCAGUAACCAGCCAUGUUGGUCAGGUCUGAUGAGUUAGAUAGUCAGUCCAGUAACCAGCCAUGUUGGUCAGGUCUGAUGAGUUAGAUAGACAGUCCAGUAACCAGCCAUGUUGGUCAGGUCUGAUGAGUUAUAGACAGUCAGUCCAGUAACCAGCCAUGUUGGUCAGGUCUGAUGAGUUAGAUAGUCAGUCCAGUAACCAGCCAUGUUGGUCAGGUCUGAUGAGUUAGACAGUCCAGUAACCAGCCAUGUUGGUCAGGUCUGAUGAGUUAGAUAGACAGUCCAGUAACCAGCCAUGUUGGUCAGGUCUGAUGAGUUAGAUAGACAGUCCAGUAACCAGCCAUGUUGGUCAGGUCUGAUGAGUUAGAUAGUCAGUCCAGUAACCAGCCAUGUUGGUCAGGUCUGAUGUGUUAGAUAGUCAGUCCAGUAACCAGCCAUGUUGGUCAGGUCUGAUGAGUUAUAGUCAGUCCAGUAACCAGCCAUGUUGGUCAGGUCUGAUGAGUUAGAUAGUCAGUCCAGUAACCAGCCAUGUUGGUCAGGUCUGAUGAGUUAGAUAGACAGUCCAGUAACCAGCCAUGUUGGUCAGGUCUGAUGAGUUAGAUAGUCAGUCCAGUAACCAGCCAUGUUGGUCAGGUCUGAUGAGUUAUAGACAGUCCAGUAACCAGCCAUGUUGGUCAGGUCUGAUGAGUUAGAUAGUCAGUCCAGUAACCAGCCAUGUUGGUCAGGUCUGAUGAGUUAUAGUCAGUCCAGUAACCAGCCAUGUUGGUCAGGUCUGAUGAGUUAGAUAGUCAGUCCAGUAACCAGCCAUGUUGGUCAGGUCUGAUGAGUUAUAGUCAGUCCAGUAACCAGCCAUGUUGGUCAGGUCUGAUGAGUUAUAGUCAGUCCAGUAACCAGCCAUGUUGGUCAGGUCUGAUGUGUUAGAUAGUCAGUCCAGUAACCAGCCAUGUUGGUCAGGUCUGAUGAGUUAGAUAGUCAGUCCAGUAACCAGCCAUGUUGGUCAGGUCUGAUGAGUUAGAUAGUCAGUCCAGUAACCAGCCAUGUUGGUCAGGUCUGAUGUGUUAGAUAGUCAGUCCAGUAACCAGCCAUGUUGGUCAGGUCUGAUGAGUUAGAUAGUCAGUCCAGUAACCAGCCAUGUUGGUCAGGUCUGAUGAGUUAGAUAGUCAGUCCAGUAACCAGCCAUGUUGGUCAGGUCUGAUGAGUUAGAUAGUCAGUCCAGUAACCAGCCAUGUUGGUCAGGUCUGAUGAGUUAGAUAGUCAGUCCAGUAACCAGCCAUGUUGGUCAGGUCUGAUGUGUUAGAUAGACAGUCCAGUAACCAGCCAUGUUGGUCAGGUCUGAUGAGUUAGAUAGUCAGUCCAGUAACCAGCCAUGUUGGUCAGGUCUGAUGUGUUAGAUAGACAGUCCAGUAACCAGCCAUGUUGGUCAGGUCUGAUGAGUUAGACAGUCAGUCCAGUAACCAGCCAUGUUGGUCAGGUCUGAUGAGUUAGAUAGUCAGUCCAGUAACCAGCCAUGUUGGUCAGGUCUGAUGAGUUAGAUAGUCAGUCCAGUAACCAGCCAUGUUGGUCAGGUCUGAUGAGUUAGAUAGUCAGUCCAGUAACCAGCCAUGUUGGUCAGGUCUGAUGAGUUAGACAGUCAGUCCAGUAACCAGCCAUGUUGGUCAGGUCUGAUGAGUUAUAGUCAGUCCAGUAACCAGCCAUGUUGGUCAGGUCUGAUGAGUUAUAGUCAGUCCAGUAACCAGCCAUGUUGGUCAGGUCUGAUGAGUUAGAUAGUCAGUCCAGUAACCAGCCAUGUUGGUCAGGUCUGAUGAGUUAGAUAGUCAGUCCAGUAACCAGCCAUGUUGGUCAGGUCUGAUGAGUUAGAUAGUCAGUCCAGUAACCAGCCAUGUUGGUCAGGUCUGAUGAGUUAGAUAGUCAGUCCAGUAACCAGCCAUGUUGGUCAGGUCUGAUGAGUUAGAUAGUCAGUCCAGUAACCAGCCAUGUUGGUCAGGUCUGAUGAGUUAGAUAGUCAGUCCAGUAACCAGCCAUGUUGGUCAGGUCUGAUGUGUUAGAUAGUCAGACCAGUAACCAGCCAUGUUGGUCAGGUCUGAUGAGUUAGAUAGUCAGUCCAGUAACCAGCCAUGUUGGUCAGGUCUGAUGAGUUAGAUAGUCAGUCCAGUAACCAGCCAUGUUGGUCAGGUCUGAUGAGUUAGAUAGUCAGUCCAGUAACCAGCCAUGUUGGUCAGGUCUGAUGAGUUAGAUAGUCAGUCCAGUAACCAGCCAUGUUGGUCAGGUCUGAUGUGUUAGAUAGUCAGUCCAGUAACCAGCCAUGUUGGUCAGGUCUGAUGAGUUAGAUAGUCAGUCCAGUAACCAGCCAUGUUGGUCAGGUCUGAUGAGUUAUAGACAGUCCAGUAACCAGCCAUGUUGGUCAGGUCUGAUGAGUUAGAUAGUCAGUCCAGUAACCAGCCAUGUUGGUCAGGUCUGAUGAGUUAUAGACAGUCCAGUAACCAGCCAUGUUGGUCAGGUCUGAUGAGUUAGAUAGACAGUCCAGUAACCAGCCAUGUUGGUCAGGUCUGAUGAGUUAGAUAGACAGUCCAGUAACCAGCCAUGUUGGUCAGGUCUGAUGAGUUAUAGACAGUCCAGUAACCAGCCAUGUUGGUCAGGUCUGAUGAGUUAGAUAGUCAGUCCAGUAACCAGCCAUGUUGGUCAGGUCUGAUGAGUUAGAUAGUCAGUCCAGUAACCAGCCAUGUUGGUCAGGUCUGAUGAGUUAGACAGUCAGUCCAGUAACCAGCCAUGUUGGUCAGGUCUGAUGAGUUAGAUAGACAGU